CGAAAGCCUGACGGAGCAAGACCGCGUGAGGGACGAAGGCUCUUGGGUUGUAAACCUCUUUUCUCAGGGAAGAAUUAUGACGGUACCUGAGGAAUAGGCAUCGGCUAACUCCGUGCCAGCAGCCGCGGUAAGACGGAGGAUGCAAGCGUUAUCCGGAAUGAUUGGGCGUAAAGCGUUCGCAGGUGGCUAUUCAAGUCGGCUGUCAAAGACCGGGGCUUAACCCCAGAAAGGCAGUGGAAACUGAACGGCUAGAGUGCAGAUCGGGUAGAGGGAAUUCCCAGUGUAGCGGUGAAAUGCGUAGAGAUUGGGAAGAACACCAGUGGCGAAAGCGCUCUGCUGGACUGCAACUGACACUGAGGGACGAAAGCUAGGGGAGCGAAAGGGAUUAGAUACCCCUGUAGUCCUAGCCGUAAACGAUGGAUACUAGGCGUUGCCGGGCUCGACCCCGGCAGUGUCGGAGCUAACGCGUUAAGUAUCCCGCCUGGGAAGUACGCACGCAAGUGUGAAACUCAAAGGAAUUGACGGGGGCCCGCACAAGCGGUGGAGUAUGUGGUUUAAUUCGAUGCAACGCGAAGAACCUUACCAGGGCUUGACAUGUCGCGAAUCCCGGUGAAAGCUGGGAGUGCCUUCGGGAGCGCGAACACAGGUGGUGCAUGGCUGUCGUCAGCUCGUGUCGUGAGAUGUUGGGUUAAGUCCCGCAACGAGCGCAACCCUCGUUUUCAGUUGCCAUCAUUAAGUUGGGAACUCUGAAGAGACUGCCGGUGACAAAUCGGAGGAAGGUGGGGAUGACGUCAAGUCAGCAUGCCCCUUACGUCCUGGGCAACACACGUACUACAAUGCUGCGGACAGAGGGUAGCGAGCCGGUGACGGCAAGCCAAUCCCGUAAACCGUGGCUCAGUUCAGAUCGCAGGCUGCAACUCGCCUGCGUGAAGGCGGAAUCGCUAGUAAUCGCAGGUCAGCAUACUGCGGUGAAUACGUUCCCGGGCCUUGUACACACCGCCCGUCACACCAUGGGAGCUGGUUUGGCCCGAAGUCGUUACUCUAACCGCAAGGGGGAGGACGCCGAAGGCUGGGCUGGUGACUGGGGUGAAGUCGUAACAAGGUAGCCGUACCGGAAGGUGUGGCUGGAUCACCUCCUUUUUAGGGAGACCUGCUUGCUGAUGACCAGACCCUAGAAAUAUUGGUCACAGUGAAGUCAUCCCAAGGUCGAGGGAGGUUUUUGGUAAAAAGGCUUUCAAACUAAUUCCCGGUUCGUUUUAUGGGCUAUUAGCUCAGGUGGUUAGAGCGCACCCCUGAUAAGGGUGAGGUCCCUGGUUCGAGUCCAGGAUGGCCCACCUGGAAGGGAUUGCAGAUUUUGGAUUUUAGAUUGGCUCUCAAAUCUCAAAUCGUGAGGUCGCUGGUUAAAGUCCAGGAUGUCCGACCCGCGAGGGAUUUUAAAUUGUACAUUCAAUCGAAAAUCCAAAAUCCAAAAUCCAAAAUCCACACAGUGGGGGUAUAGCUCAGUUGGUAGAGCGCUGCCUUUGCACGGCAGAAGCCAGCGGUUCGAGUCCGCUUACCUCCACCAAAAAAAGAAAUCUUUUCUUCUUAACAUUUCCCGGAAAGGGUGUGCUAAGAUGAAAGACCGGAGACAAGAAAAAGCCAUCCUGUCACCCGUAAAAAAAUAAAUCUUUCCUCCUUGACAUUUCUCGGAAAGGGUGUGCUAAGAUGAAAGACCGGGGAUAAAAAAUCAUCUUGUCAUUUGAUUGGCAGCCCCCAAAAAAAGUUACGAAAACUUGUUGACAGUCGAAGCGCGACAGUGCUAAGAUAAAAGACCGAAAGGAAAAAAAUACAGAUUUCAGCAACGACCCAAGUAAUUGACUUGAGCGCCUGCUGGAUUCUAUCCAGUCAGAACCUUGAAAACUGCAUAGCAACUUGUCAGGGAGAAGCAAUCAGCUUUUAGCUGAGAGCUAAUCAAUCAGACAUCAAUGUUAAACGUGGUCAAGCUACAAAGAGCUGACGGUGGAU
rnacentral:sRNA from 1 species